GGGAUAUAAUUUUAUAUAUAUAUCUAGGAAGAGAGCUGUUACUUUUAUUAGAAAGAUUUACAAAGCUGAUUUAACUAUAAGCUACCACAUGCAGCCUUCACUGCUAAUUUUCAGGCUGUGUGUGUGUGUGUGUGUGUGUGUGUGUAUUCUCA